rnacentral:tRNA from 3 species
UGGUUCAAGUCCUCUAUCCCCA